AACGCAGGUGGUUGUAUAAGUCUGAAGUAAAAGGCAGUGGCUCAACCAUUGUGUGCUUUGGAAACUGUACAACUUGAGUGCAGAAGGGGAGAGUGGAAUUCCAUGUGUAGCGGUGAAAUGCGUAGAUAUAUGGAGGAACACCGGUGGCGAAAGCGGCUCUCUGGUCUGUAACUGACACUGAGGCUCGAAAGCGUGGGAGCAAACA
rnacentral:rRNA from 1 species